rnacentral:rRNA from 1 species
UGUCGCCUACGGGGGGCAGCAGUGAGGAAUAUUGGUCAAUGGCCGGGAGGCUGAACCAGCCAAGUCGCGUGAGGGAAGACGGCCCUACGGGUUGUAAACCUCUUUUGUCAGGGAGCAAGGGGCGGGUCGAGACCUGCUGUGAGAGUACCUGAAGAAAAAGCAUCGGCUAACUCCGUGCCAGCAGCCGCGGUAAUACGGAGGAUGCGAGCGUUAUCCGGAUUUAUUGGGUUUAAAGGGUGCGUAGGCGGAAGAUCAAGUCAGCGGUAAAAUUGAGAGGCUCAACCUCUUCGAGCCGUUGAAACUGG